rnacentral:rRNA from 1 species
AGGGCACCACCAGGAGUGGAGCCUGCGGCUUAAUUUGACUCAACACGGGAAAACUCACCCGGCCCGGACACUGGAAGGAUUGACAGAUUGAGAGCUCUUUCUUGAUUCAGUGGGUGGUGGUGCAUGGCCGUUCUUAGUUGGUGGAGCGAUUUGUCUGGUUAAUUCCGAUAACGAACGAGACUCUAGCCUACUAAAUAGAUCGUCGGCUUACAAACGCCGGCGAGACUUCUUAGAGGGACAGGCGGUGAUUCAACCGCACGAAACAGAGCAAUAACAGGUCUGUGAUGCCCUUAGAUGUCCGGGGCCGCACGCGCGCUACACUGAAGUGAUCAGCGUGCAUUAAUAACCCUCUCUGUCAAGAGUGGGUAACCCAUUGAACCUUCUUCGUGAUUGGGAUAGGGUAUUGUAAUUCUUACCCUUGAACGAGGAAUUCCCAGUAAGCGCGAGUCAUAAGCUUGCGUUGAUUACGUCCCUGCCCUUUGUACACACCGCCCGUCGCUACUACCGAUUGAAUGAUUU